rnacentral:tRNA from 1 species
GCCCAGCUAGUAAGCUGGAUAUGACCUUCGGCUUGUAACCGAGUGGGCUCGGGUUCGAAUCCCGAAUAAGGCA